rnacentral:lncRNA from 1 species
UUGAAUCUUAAGCAGAAAAAUCAACAGCAGGAAUGAAUAAAAUUGGUUGGGAUCUCGGUUAGAACUCCCUAUGGCACAAGCUAUCCUAACCCCAGAUAUUGCAAUAAUAACGCAAAAACGUGUUCAGAGAAUGUGUAUGAUCUGAGUCCCUCUCUCGAGUGGUAGCCACGCUAGUGGCUGUUAUCAUGUGGGCGCGACGGUGAGCUUGUCGGGUUUCAUAGAUGGCAACAUGAUUUGGACAGCAUUAUGACUUGGAAUGUGUUGUUCUGAUGAGAAAUAAGGGCUGAAAGUUAGUCUGCUUGGUUAGAUGAGAUGUCAUCGAAAAUCCCCAUGAAUUCCCUAUGCUUCCUAGCCCUAUGAAUUAUGAUUGAUAUUUUCUCGUGUGUAUAUAUAACGUUUAUGUAUUGAUAGGCAGUAUCGAGAGCAAAUGGGUUUAGAGGCAUCGCCACCAUAGCCCUAUGAUUGAUAUUUUCUAAAUGAGGUGCUUAUUUGCAACUAAAGGGACUAAACAGGGAAUCAAACAGGGCCCACCCGACCACCAGACCACCCGCGCACCUCUUCGGCCUCAUCUCGCACUCGCGCACCUCCCCGACCUGACGCAAAUCUGCCACCGCCGGCUCAAUCUGCCCGCCCAGCCACCACCACGCCUCAGUCUGUCUUCCCGACGCAAGGC